rnacentral:sRNA from 1 species
AGGCCAAUGACUCUGGCUUGGCUUCGUAUGUUGCUGGUCAAAUUGACCGUACCUUGAGCUGGAAGG